rnacentral:rRNA from 1 species
GGUUAAGCGACUAAGCGUACACGGUGGAUGCCUGGCGAUCAGAGGCGAUGAAGGACGUGCUAAUCUGCGAAAAGCGCCGGCGAGGUGAUAUGACCCUUGACCCGGCGAUGUCCGAAUGGGAAACCCAGUGCAAUCCGUUGCACUAUCGUUAACUGAUACAUAGGUUAACAGGGCGAACCGGGGAACUGAAACAUCUAAGUACCCCGAGGAAAGAAAUCAACCGAGAUUCCCCAGUAGCGGCGGGCGAACGGGGGAACCAUUGAAGUCUGAAUCGAAAGCAUUGUGUUGGUGGAAGCGUCUGGAAAGUCUCGCACGGUACAGGGUGAAAAGUCCCGUACAGAAAUGCUGGAGCUGUGAACUCGAAGAGUAGGGCAGGACACGUGGUAUCCUGUCUGAAUAUGGGGGACCAUCCUCCAAGGCUAAAUACUCCCUGACCGAUGGUAGACCAGUACCGUGAGGGGAAGGGCAAAAAGAACCGGCGAGGGGGAGUGAAAAAGAACCUGAAACCGUGUACGUACAAGCAGUCAGGAGCACCUUCAGGUGUGACUGCGUACCCCUUUGUAUAAUGGGUCAGCGAGCUUAUAUUCUGUAGCAAAGGUUAACCGUAUAGGGAGCCGAAGGAAACCAAAGUCUUAACUGGGCGCAUUAGGGUGCCAGGGUAUAGACCCGAAACCCGGUGAUCAGCCAUGGGCAGGUUGAAGGUUGGGUAACACUAACUGGAGGACCGACCGACUAAUGUUGAAAAAUUGGCGGAUGACCUGUGGCUGAGGUGAAAGGCCAAUCAAACCGGGAGAUAGCUGGUUCUCCCAGCUAUUUAGUAGCGCCUCGUGAACUCAUCUUCGGGGGUAGAGCACUGUUUCAGCUGAGGGCCAUCAGCUUACCAACCCGAUGCAAACUACGAAUACCGAAGAAUGUUAUCACAGGAGACACACGGCGGGUGCUAACGUCCGUCGUGAAGAGAAAACAACCCAGACCAGCUAAGGUCCCAAAAGUCAUGGUUAAGUGGGGAAACUUGAUGUGGGAAGGCCCAGACAGCAAGGAUGUUGGCUUAGAAGCAGCCAUCAUUUAAAGCGUAAUAGCUCACUGGUCAGGAGUCGGCCUGCGCGGAAGAUGUAACGGGGCUAAACCAUGCACCAGGCUGCAGCAGCGGCAGCUUAUGCGUUGUUGGGUAGGGGCGUUCUGUAAGCCGUUGAGAGGUGGCCUGUGAGGUUGCUGGAGGUAUCAAGUGCGAAUGCUGACGCAAGUAACGAUAAAGCGGGUGAAAAGCCCGCUCGCCGAAAGACCAAGGGUUCUGUCCAGCGUUAAUCGGGGGCCAGGGUGGAGUCGACCCUAAGGCGGGGCCGAAAGGCGUAGUCGAUGGAAACAGGUUAAUAUUCCUGUACUUGGUGUUACUGCGAAGGAGGACGGAGAAGAGCUAUGUUAGCCGGGCGACGGUGUCCCAGUUUAAACGCAUGUAGGCGGAGGUUCAGGUAAAUCCGGUACGGCGCAACGCUGUGAGGUGUGAUGACGGGCACUACGGUGCUGAAGUAACAAAUGCCCUGCUUCCAGGAAAAGCCUCCCUAAGCAUCAGGUAACUUUGAAAUCGUGCCCAAACCGACACAGGUAGUCCAGGUGAGAGAAUACCAAGGCGCUUGAAGAACUCGGGUGAAAGAACUAGGCAAAAAAAUGGUGCCGUAACUUCCGGGAAUACGCUGAUAUGUGGGUGAAGCCCCCUGCGUGGGAGCUGAAAUCAGUCGAGAUGCCAGCUGGCUGCAACUGUUUGCCAAAAACUGCAGCACUGUGCAAACACGAAAGUGGACGUACGGUGUGACGCCUGCCCGGUGCCGGAAGAGUUGAGUGAUGGGGUUAGCGGCAGCGCGAAGCUCUUGAUCGAAGCCCCGGUAAACGGCGGCCCGUAACUAUAACGGUCCUAAGGUAGCGAAAUUCCUUGUCAGGUAAGAUUCCGACCUGCGAAUAGCGUAAUAUGGCGAGCUGUCUCCACCCGAGACUCAGUGAAGUGAACUCGCUGUGAAAGAUGCAGUGUACCCGCGGCAAGACGGAAAGACCCCGUGAACCUUUACUAUAGCUUGACACUGAACACUGGUCUUGAUGUGUAGAGAUAGGUGGAGGCUUUUGAAGCGUGGACGCCAGUCUGCGUGGAGCCGACCUUGAAAUACCACCCUUUAAUGGCUGGUGUUCUAACGUAGACCCGUUACCCAGGUUGCGGACAGUGUCUGGUGGGUAGUUGGCUGGGGCGGUCUCCUCCCAAAAGAGUAACGGAGGGCACGAAAGGUUAAGCUAAUCUGGUCGGACAUCGAGUUAGAUGCAAUGGCAUAAGCUAAGCUUGACUGCAGAUGACAGCUCGAGCAGGUGCAGCAGGUCAUAGUGAUCCGGUGGUUCUGAAUGUAAAUAAGCUCAGCAGCGGAUAAAGGUACUCGGGGAUAACAGGCUGAUACCGCCCAGAGUUCAUAUCGACGGCGGUGUUUGGCACCUCGAUGUCGGCUCAUCACAUCCUGGGGCUGAAGUAGGUCCCAAGGGUAUGGCUGUUCGCCAUUUAAAGUGGUACGCGAGCUGGAGUUUAGAGCGUGGUGGAAGGUUGGUCUAUCCUGCCGGCGCUGGAGGAGUGAGGGGGCUGCUCCUAGUAGAGAGGACCGGGUGGCGCAUCACUGGUGUUCAGGUUGUCGGCUGCCAUUGGCUGCCCGGUAAGCUAAAUGCGGAAGAAUGGUGCGAAGUCAUCAUCCCUAGUUGCCCCGGAAUCGUCAAGGGAUUCUUAGAAGUCAUUCCCAGAACAUUUGAAGACGACGACGUUGAUAGGUCGGGUGUGUAAGCGCGCGUGUGCGUUGCCAACCGAUACUAAUGAACGUGAGGCUUAACCCG